rnacentral:rRNA from 1 species
CGUGGUACGAAUAGCGAAGCGAAGCAGUGAUGUGAAGCAAAUCGCNCCAAAGCCAGUCCCAGUUCGGAUAAGAGGCUGAAACUCGCCUCUUUGAAGUCGGAAUCGCUAGUAAUCGCAGAUCAGCAUGUUGCGGUGAAUACGUUCCCGGGUCUUGUACACACCGCCCGUCAAACCAUGAGAGUCACCAACACCCGAAGUCCGCCUUGGCGGCCUAAGGUGAGGGAGAUGAUUGGGGUUAAGUCGUAACAAGGUAAC